GUUUAUCUGAGAAAACCUCGAGUUUCUCUCUGUCUCCGCCCUCUUUCAGGAACACACGCUGUUUCAUUUCCUCAUUCAUUCAGUCAGUAAGCGAGCGAGUUUUGGCGUAGAACAGCUUUUAUUAACGAUCCAGUGGAUAAAGGAGCAGCAUUACUGCACAGAUAAUUAAAUAUUCGUCCGUAGAUUGUUAUCAGACCGAGCAUAAAUGUUCUCGCAUUUCCGGACAAUUAUCGGUUUGAGCGGUACCGUUUCGUAAUCGUUUCAAGUCCAUAAUCUACAUAAACAACCUAAUCCGUCCUUACAUUUACAUUACCAGCCGCAGUCAUGCUCUCACAUCCAGCAGAUAUUUUGUGUGUUGUGCUGUGGUUCUUUGCAAAUGGAAGUUUUUAUAUGAUGUCAGAGAUGCAGAGUAAGACAACUGUAUGCAGGACAGUCAGAAAAGUUUUCCUGGCUCUGAAACGACUUUUACUCGUCAUUGUGGUUUUCCUGGACACAAACCUGUCAGAACAUCAAGGAGGAGUUCCACAGGAUUGCAGGUGAAUGAUGUAGAGAUCUGUUAAAUUCAUUUUAAAUCGUAUUCUGUUAAUGACAUUGUGCUGCAGCCUCAGACUGGGAUUAGUCAUUUUAAUUUCUUUUAGGAUUUCCCAGUGUGAUUGGCUGCAUAGAUGCACACACAUCCCCAUCACAGCUCCCUCACAUCAUGAACAGGAAGUCCAUUCUCAUAAAUGUGCAGGUAGGCUACAGGUAGACUGACUACUGUUUCUAAAUGUUAAAGACUGCAUCAUAGUUCAACAUCUGUCAUUCUCUGCACUGUCCUGAUCAAAUGUGAUGCUGCAUACAUCAUUUAUAAUGUGGAGGCCACAUGGUCUGGGUCUGUUCAUGACUCCAGGAUUUAUGGAGAGUCUAACCUGAGCAACAGACUGCAGCGUGGAGAGUUUGAUGGCCUUCUGCUGGGUGACAGGGGUUACCAUGCCAACCCAGGCUGAUGACCUCAUACCCUGACCCUGAACCAGGCCCCCAACAGAACUUCAACCGGACUCACUGCAGGACCAGAGCCCGGGUGGAGAUGACCAUAGGCCUGCUGAAAGCCCGUUUCCAGAGCCUACGUCUCCUCAGGGUGACCCCUGAGAGGGCCUGUGAUAUUACUGUGGCAUGUGUUGUUCUUCAUAAUAUUACCACUAUUAGAGGAGAACAACACCCUGCCCUAAAAACUGAAGACCCAGAUGAUGAGCCCAUCCACCUGCAGCUAUCCAGGACAGCAGAGCAGUCAGAGACACCGUAUGCAAUAAUCACUUUAGAGUUUAAGUCACCGUCAUCACCACCACAGCAAAUAAAGACAUGAUACACAUUUCAUUUGCUCUUCUUUAUUUCCUACAAAUAAAAGAGAUAGUUCAGUUCAUGUUCCAGUAGUUAACAUAAUUCUCCUGUGACCAUCACCACCUCUAACUUGUGCUCCAGUAUUUCAAUUUCCAGAUCUGCCCUCCUAAUCUGUUUUUUGGAUUUUUCUCAGCAAAUGCAGUUUGUAAAUCUGUUUUACUGAUAACUGGGAAUACAUAGAGGACAUUAAAUUAUACAGUUGCACAUGAA